AAAUAAAUAAAGUAUUUUAAAAAAAUAACCAGUUUGCUGCAUCCUGAUCUUAAGGUUCUUGUGCCAAUGUCGGGGGGAGGGGAGUGUGAGAGAGGCUCUCCCAGGUGAGCAGAGCCAAGUGGGUCAAGGCAGGUGGGUAGAUGGGGGUGGAGACCAGUGGGGCUAGACACCUUGUCAGGCAGGGCCCGUGUCUGCUGGCCGGUCCCCUCUCUCCACCUAUGGGUCUUUGCUUGGCAUUUUCUCCACAGUUUCCAGAGUCCUGUGGGAAAUUGCCCUCUUCUGACUUGACCCUUCCUUCACAUCUGGACAACGAACCAUUGGUCCCAUCUAAAUUUGGUUUUCUGCUUGCAGGAGGAGAAACCGGUGAGGCUGAGCUUCCCAGAAACACCAGCCAACAAGCAAGUGGAUCUGGAAAGAAUGCCUAAGGAUUUAUGGACACCUUUAGUGUCUCCCCCUUCGGGCACAGGACCACCUUCUGCUUCUUUGGCACAUCCACAGGACAUCUCGGCUGCCUCUCUGCACACAGCAGGGACCUGGUUCUAAUUCAGGAAGAGGAAGAUGGAGCCCUGCAAUCUGCAUUUUUAACAAGCCCCUGGGAUUCUGAGGCGCUAGUGGGCACUAGGACCACGCAAUUGAACAAACAUCAGCCAAGGCUUUUAGGCACGAUGUCCAUGGCAGUGAGUCAACAGCACCUUCCCUGCGGGCAGCUGCCCUCUGAUAACCCCUGAGAUGCUUACACAGCCCCAGGAAGGAUCAUCAUAGAGCCUUAAUAAGGAUGCUAAGCUUGCUGGAAUCGUCUCUGCUACGGAAGCAGCCACUGAGCACAGAGAACUUGCUCUGCGGCAGCCCCGGGCGGUCUGGGGACCCCACCCUGGGACCACACAAAGGGACAAGUACACCCAGAUCUUCCAGGAGGCCGCUUGGUUCCAGGACAGUGACUCUUCGGGAUUGGUUCUGACCACCCAAGUGCCAGGUGUCCGUUUCCACUUCUUUCAAUUUCCCUGAGUCCCUGAGAGAUCCGUCCGCGUGAUUGCCUGCUUACGGACAAGGAGCACAGGAUCUGCUUACAGACAAGGAACACGGGGCCGAGUGAGGCCAAUGGCCUGGACCCAAGUCACAAUCCCCUGCUGAAUAGGGUGCCACACCCCGGGCAUCCUGGGUGCCUAAAACGUCGUGGGCGAGGGCUUCAGUCCGUGCACCUGCGGUGAAGGGUGCAAGGCAGGCUCAGGGACCAAGCCAGUUGUCACUCACAAUCCAAAUCCCUCCCACUUGAUCGCUGCUUCUGUAGUUGAAAAGCCAGGAUGGUAAUUUCAGCUUGUUCAGUGAAGUCCCAAGAAGUUCGUUUCCAUGGCUCGUCUGCUUUAGGGCUGGGGCUGCGUAAGGCAAUUACCAUUUCAUGCCCUAAACUGUUAACAAUCAACUCUACAGAUGCAAACAUACACGUGACAAGAGACAAGCCCCAGCCCACUGGGAAGACAAGUGUCUACAGGACAGCUGCACAGAGCCUCAGGAUUUACCUUCCGAGUCACCACCGGGCUUCCCACAAUGGCACGGGAGAGAAAGAGGAAACCCAAGUGUUCCCACCCUGCCUUGUCACUUGUCAUUACACCCAGCAAUCCACGGAGGGGACAAUGCUGAGCCAAACUUGGAAGGCCAGGAGGAAAGCACCAGGGUGGCCUUGGCACAAUUCAAAGCAGCCUGUUUCAGACGCAACUUUGCGCUUCGGAAACAUCUGAAAACUUCUUGGC